rnacentral:ncRNA from 2 species
UAUAAACAUGUGGGGCGCCGUUAAAGGCUGAGAUUGACUCAUUGAACCUGAAGUAGGUAAUGCUGACGCAGGGAUAUGUUUAGUAAAAUAU